GAAGCCCCUUACCGUAUUAUAUCAGUUUCAGGUAUACAACAUAGUAACUCAGUAUUUUUAAAGAUUGUGCUCUGUAUAAAGUUGUAAAACACGAGCUAUAUUUUCUAUGCUAUACAUUAUAUCCUUGUAACUUACCUAUUUCAUAGCUAGUAGUUUGUAUCUCUUAAUCACCCUCACCCAUUUUCCUCUCCCCUUACCCGUCACCGUGCUGGCAAUGAAUGACAGUUUAUCUGUCUCUAUUUCAUUUUGUAAAUUCCAUAUUUAAGUGAAAUCAAGCAGUAUUUGUCUUUCUCUGUCUGCCUUAUUUCACUAAGCUUAAUAUCCUCCAGCUCCAUCCAUGUCAUUGCAAAUGGCAAAAUUUCAUUCUCUUUUAUGGCUAAUAUUUCAUUAUGUUGUGUACACACAUAUAUACUUCAUUUUUGCCUGUAGUAUGAAAAAAUGUUCUCAUUUCAUUCUUUGAUGUGUAACUGUCCAGCUUUCCCAGCACCGCUUAUUGACAAGAAUGUCUUUUCUCCAUUGUAUAUUCUUGCCUCCUAUGUUGUAGGUUACUUGACCACAAGUGUGUGGGUUUAUUUCUGGGCCCUCUAUUCUGUUCCAUUGACCUACAUGUCUAUUUUUGUGUCUGUACCACACCAUUUUGAUUACUGCUGCUUUGUAGUACAGUCUGAAGUCAGGGAGCAUGAUUCUUCCAGUUUUGUCCUUUUUCUCUCAAGAUUACUUUGGCUAUUUGGGGUCUUUGGUGGUUCCAUACACACUUUAGGAUUAUCUUGCUCUAGUUCUGUGAAAAAUGUCAUGGGUAUUUUGAUAGGGAUUACAUUAAAUCUGCACACUGCUUUGAAUAUUAUUAACAUUUUAACAAUAUUAAUCUUUUAUUCCAUGAACAUGGGAUAUCUUUCCAUUUACCCUUCUUCAAUGUCUUACAGUAUUUAGAGAACAGAUAGUCUUCUACCCAUGGUUAAAUUUAUCCCUAGGUAUUUUAUUCUUAUUUGAUUGCAAAUCAGAUUUUUUUCUUAAUUUCUCUAAUAGUUCAUCAUUAGUGUUUAGAAAUGCAACAGAUUUCUAUAUAUUAAUCCUGUAUCCUGCAACUUAACUGAAUUCAUUCAUAAGUUUCCAUUAGAUUUUUGGUGGUAUCUGUAGGGUUUUUUACAUAUAAUAUCAUGUCAUCUGCAAAUGGUGACAGUUUCUUCUCUACUUACUUGGAUGCCUCUUUUUUUCUUGUUUAACUGCUGUACCUAAAACUUCCAAUAAUAUGUUAAAGAGGUGGCAACCAUAGGCAUACUUGUCAUGUUCUUAAUUUUAGAUAAAAACCUUUCAGCUUUUCACAACUGAGCAUAAUGUUAGCUGUAGAUUUAUUGUAAAUGGUCUUUAUUAUGUUGAAUUACGUUCCCUCUGUAUCAUCUUUGUUGAGAGUUUUUAUCACAAGUGAAUGAAUCUUAGGUCCUAUCCAAAGUGGCCCAGGCAUGAACUCUAGGUGAAGAUUAGAAAGGCUGUUAAUUUAAGUGGGUGGGACAAUACCCACGUCAGUGAGUCACAGGACAAUUGAGAAAAUAAAAACAGUACAGUACUGAAACAUGUCUGGGCCCAAAGGGAACAGUGGGCAUGAUUCAGUAUCUUCCUCCAAAGUAAAUACCACCUUUGGCCUUUACUUCAAAAUAACCCUGUUUAAUGAGUGAAACUUUCAAUAAAUUACGCUUACAGGCUUAGAAUUGAAGAAGCAUUUAAGGCAAAAUGACAUUUUGAAAAGACAUGGCUUGUUCUUGUUUAUUUGACUUUCCCCCAUUCCCAGAACCCUACUUGCAUAUUUAUCUUCUUCAGCCUCAACCAACUAGAAGUGCUGGCAGGAUAUUGUUUUUUUCUUAGCUGGGAUGAAGGCUUCUCUUACUCUCCUCAUACCCCCAUCACUUUGAGACAAGCAUCCUAUUGUGUGUCUGCUUCUGCUUUCAAGAGCCCUCAGCCCCUAAAUCUAUACUGCUCUGGAGGUGAGAUCUGAACUUUGAUUUGGAUAAUACUUAGUUGUCUUAUUCCUUUCUUCCAUUCUCUUACCUUUUUACCAGACUGUAAAUUCCUAAGGACUAAGACACAGACUGAGUUUUGUAUUUUAAUUCCCUCCUGAAAUUAUGUCUUAUACAUAGGUGGCUUUCAAUAAAUAUGAGCUGGCUUGGAUUCAAGCAAGAACUGAGAAUCAGAGUUUGUCCUCAGUAAGGGUUUCCUCUGACCCAAGUCUUCAUUUCUCUAAACUGAAUGGGCUUCUGAACUGGAUGACCUCCAAGUCCCUGCUCCAGAGCUGUCCUGUAACCCAAUCCAGUCAACUACUGAUGCUCUCUUAGUGCCACGCCUUGAGCCGACCUGGGCACUCAGUCUGGUGCCCUGCCUCGCCUGCAGAAAAGUCUCCUUCAGUGCUCCAGGUCUGACAAGCAGCACCAGCCACAGCCCAGCGCUGAGUCCUGUGGUGAGCGCAGGAAAAGCAGGCAGCGCCUGGGCACCCAGGCCAGAAGUUUGGGCUCAGCCUGAGAACAGAACGGAGUCCUGUCCUCCAGGCAGGGAAGCUGGGGUUUCACAGUCUCCCCUGCAAGAGAGCCCCUUGACGCCUAGGCUCCUGCUUCAUUCAGUCAGGGGUCCAGCUCCUCAGAGUAACUGGGAGGGAAUAUCAGUGGAUCUAUUUUGUGAAAUAAAAUACCAAUCUAUAACUCACCACACUGAAGUAAGCAUUUUCCACAUUUCCGUUUCUGAAAUGAGACUGUCCAUGAGAAAAAAUAGUAAUUUCUUAUGUUGUAUUUCAAGUUAUACAAAGAAGUUUAAGCUUCAGGAACACCUUUUAUAUCCUUCCCUCUGUAUAAACUAAAGCCUAAGAUCCACUAGAGUGGUAUUACCUAUUUUAUGUGUAAAGAAAGAAAUGUGUCUGAAAGUGCAAAUUUUUAAAAAGGAGAGGGGGAAAAAAGCCUGUUUCAUCAGUGGACAGUAAGCUUUUUUACGGAAAUCUGUGUUUGUACAACAGGGAAGCGGCAACACAUCCUAACUCCCCUUAGAAGGUCCUAACUUUAAAGUACCUUCUAAGAAUCUCUUUAAAUAUAAAAGUCUCUGAAAUUAAGAUUAGGCUGAAAAUCUGCCUUUACAGUUUUUGAGACACACAUACAUGCAAAAAAAAAAAAAA